GGAAGCGCUGCCCUCAGUGCGCCCUCAGCGCCCUGCGCGCGGUGUUGGGAAUAAAGUCCUCCCUGGACCGGCGGGAGGCCCUGGCACAGGCUGCCCACAGAAGCUGUGGCUGCCCCAUCCCUGCAAGUGUCCAAGGCCAGGUUUUAUACUGCCAUGAGUGGAUUCAGACACAAGUUAAAAACUUUGCCGUUCAAAGACCUGUUCCCUCCAUCCAAUUCCAGCUAUUAAGGGAGAGCUCCCUCCUCUGGAGCGCUUUAUCCUUGCGCUGAGAACAUCGGGCUGUGGAAGCGCUGAGAAAUUACUGAAUUCAGUAAAAUCUCUUUUAAAGUCCCUUUGACCCAUAGCACAAAACGCAAAAUAUAUUGGAUUCACUGAAUACAGAAAUAAAUUCACGUGUGUACGGGCUGAUACCACCGAAGAAAUCAUUUCUGUGCUGUUGUAGGUUGGUUUGAACAUCUGUAAAACAAAUAGAUUUAACCUCAGGGCGUUUGCAACCGAAAAUUAAGUACAUUUCCCCAGCCAAAACAAAACACGUGUUUUGGGAAUUUGAAUGUUCUCCGUGGAAGGAACUGCAUUUUCUUCACAAACAGGUGUUUCUGGGGGUGAAUCACAGAGGAAAAGAUGAAUUAAAAAUAGGUGGUGGUGUAAUUUCUGUGAGAGGCUUCUGAGCAGAGAGAGUUUCUGAUUUAUUGAUUCCACCACUGCUUGGAAAAAUAGAGGUAAUUUGUCUCUGUAAAUAGAAGUGGAACAAAGAAACUUGUCUUCAUUACCACUUUUUUCCCUUAUGGAAACACAAUUUUUUUCCUAUUUUCUUGUCUGAAAAGAAAACCACAAUUACUGUAUAGAUUAAUUGCAGCUAAAUUAGCCCAACUUUUCAAACUCUACUGCCACAUAAAACUGCAUAGUCCCCUGCCAAAACAUGCACACACAAUCUUCUAUUUGUAAGAUUCAACACUUCUUAAUCUAUUUAAUGGUUAGCAAAGUGAGUUAAGGAAAUAAUUAGUCCUUAAAGCAAUGGAAUUUAAGAAGCCUGGUUCGAAUUUGAUUAAAAUUGGCCAACAGGAUCAAAAAUUAGUCGAAGGGGGCUGACAGAGAGACUGCCUUGAACACCUUGUUUUCCUCAAGAAACAGGAGCACUGUGGGUCAGAACAAAAUUUAAAUGCUUUGUGAUGUACUAAAUUAAUGUUUAAGGUGACUGUAUAACGUAAAAUUCAGAUUAGAUUAGCAAGAUAUAAAUAUAAAUAAAUAUAAACCCCAAAUAGCUGAAAUUUGCUUAAUGCCUAAGAUGUGAUUUCCCACUAACACAGCUACAAUGGGACCAGUUGUGCCGAGGGUUUAUCCCAUGAAAAGCUUUGCCAACAUAAUAUUCAGAGGGUUUUUUGCAGAGCAAACGCUGCUCCCUUAGGAAUAAACCCCUCCAAGCCCAGAAACAGGCAAUUAUCCCUCUGACAGGUUUGCUUUGCCAUAUAUUCCAUGUAACAAACCAGGAAAUGAGACUGAAAUAUAAAAUAAGGUGCAAAUUUUCUGCAGCUUUUCUAAUGGAAUUACAUUAAUCCACACAGAAACAAACAGUGAUAUUUCCAUGUCGCCUAAACUAGAAACCAGAAGCGUUUUCUAGAACAGAAGCAACAUAUGCUGGGGCUUUUUCUGUUUGUUUUUUAUUUCCCUGACUUAUUAUUUUAUCAGCAUGUGGCUGGUUAUUCAUUUCCUGAGGAAAAACCAAUAAUCAAUGUCUGCCAGCAUUUGCUUUUUAUUUAAUUAGGAACAUAGGACUGGAAAGAACCACUUAGAUCACCAAGCCCAGUCUCUAAUUAAACACUCUUCAAAAAAUAUCGAUUCAUCAAAGUUGCACAAAUAUGGUCAGUUUUAUAACACUGUAUCUCUGCAGAGACUGUGAGUGAUCUUCUGCUUUUUUUGUUUGUAAGGGUUUUUUAGUAUAAAGAGGGACUAUUAUUUCAAUGCAAAGAGCUCAUCACACAGACAUCUGAUUUUCAGUGAUUUUAUAUGGCACAAUUACAGUGCUUUGCACUGGAAA